rnacentral:tRNA from 1 species
UCCCUGGAGGACUAGUGGUUAGGCCUCGGUGCUCUCACUGCCGCGGCCAGGGUUCGAUUCCCAGGCAGGAAA